AUUUUUGUUGAUGUUACGUUAAACAAUUUAAUAUUAAAUAUAAAAUUAAAGUAAUCAAACCACUAGAUAAUGAAAGACAAAAUGAAGGAGUAUGGUACAUUUUCUAAUGAUCAAUGUUCAUCUACAGACGAUUUGAGUCAACUCUGCUCUAAUACUUCAGUUGUACAUGGUAUGAUAGCAAUGGACGACGUAUCUGACAAUAACAAAAUAUGGAGAAUGUUGUUUGCCGAAUUUUUGGGCACGGCUAUUCUAUUGUUUCUUGGCUGUGGCAGCAUUAUGUGGCUUGACGGAUUAGGUUCAUCGGCUAUCAUACAAAUCUCUCUGACUUUUGGUUUCACAAUAGCAACACUAGUACAGAUAUUCGGUCAGACCAGUGGAUGUCACAUCAACCCAGCAGUCACGGUUAGCUUUUUGGUGAGCGGCCAAUGCUCAUUUUUGAAAUCAGCUCUGUACAUAGUUGCACAGUGUCUGGGGGCUAUAGCUGGUAUAUACCUUCUAGAAUUCGUUACUCCAGACGCAGUAACUAAAGGUUUAGGUAAAACAGCCGUAAACGCUUUGCUUCAACCGGGACAAGGAUUUGUUGUAGAAGCAUUCAUUACCCUUAUUCUAGUCUUGGUUAUUCACUCGGUCUGUGAUGAAGCCAACCGAAGCAACAUAGUUACGCCAUCCAUUUCUAUCGGUCUGACCAUUGCUGCCGCCCAUUUAGCAGCGAUUAAAUAUACAGGAGCUAGCAUGAACCCAGCAAGAUCAUUAGGCCCAGCCGUUGCUCUUGGCUUUUGGACAAACCAUUGGGUAUAUUGGAUCGGACCUAUUGUUGGUGGUAUACUUGGAGGAACCAUCCACACUUUUGUGUUGAAACGUCAUACUGAAGAGACAUCAAACCAUACAAUUAAAUUGAGUGCAUUCUAGUUAUUAAAUCAACGAUGAAAUGAAACUAUAUUACCUAUUUUAUUGCCUAUUUGUAAUAAUGUGAACUAAAAUAUUCUUACAGUAAUGGUGUAAACUCAAUAUGCAUUUAUACAAUCCUAGUGCUUGAUGGUCAAUAGUUGAUAAUCAUUAAUCUAACAUAAAAUCUAAAUUUAAAAAAAAAUCAAUUUAUAUAUUUUAUGAUUAUAUACAAAAUUCAGCUUAUUAAUUCUUAUUAAUAAUAAACCAAUUUAAAAUUAUUUUAAUUUUGUAUUCGAUUUUCAUCUUACUUUUAAACAAAAAUUGAUAACUCAGUUUAAACAGAUCGAAAAUUUAACCAAGUAAAAUAUUCGGAAAAGUAAUAAUAUUCAAAGUAGGUAAUCAAUUUUAUAUUCUGUUACUCUAUAUUAAAACAUUCAAUAAUAUUUUUAUAAGAAUAAUUAA